GAUGAACGCUAGCGACAGGCCUAACACAUGCAAGUCGAGGGGCAGCACGGUGUAGCAAUACACGGGUGGCGACCGGCGCACGGGUGAGUAACGCGUAUGCAACCUGCCUACUACAAGGGGAUGACCCGUUGAAAGACGGACUAAUACCCUAUAACACAGGGAAUCCGCAUGGAUAUAUUUGUUAAAGAUUUAUCGGUAGUAGAUGGGCAUGCGUUCCAUUAGCUUGUUGGUGAGGUAACGGCUCACCAAGGCAACGAUGGAUAGGGGAACUGAGAGGUUGAUCCCCCACACUGGAACUGAGACACGGUCCAGACUCCUACGGGAGGCAGCAGUGAGGAAUAUUGGUCAAUGGACGAGAGUCUGAACCAGCCAAGUCGCGUGAAGGAAGACGGCCCUACGGGUUGUAAACUUCUUUUGUAAGGGAAUAAAUAGUCUUACGCGCUAAGACGUUGCAGGUACCUUACGAAUAAGGAUCGGCUAACUCCGUGCCAGCAGCCGCGGUAAAAGUCACG
rnacentral:rRNA from 1 species